GUGCACGCUGGCGGUAGGCCUAACCCAUGCAAGUCGAACGGCAGCACAGUAAGAGCUUGCUCUUACGGGUGGCGAGUGGCGGACGGGUGAGGAAUACAUCGGAAUCUACUUUUUCGUGGGGGAUAACGUAGGGAAACUUACGCUAAUACCGCAUACGACCUACGGGUGAAAGCAGGGGAUCUUCGGACCUUGCGCGAUUGAAUGAGCCGAUGUCGGAUUAGCUAGUUGGCGGGGUAAAGGCCCACCAAGGCGACGAUCCGUAGCUGGUCUGAGAGGAUGAUCAGCCACACUGGAACUGAGACACGGUCCAGACUCCUACGGGAGGCAGCAGUGGGGAAUAUUGGACAAUGGGCGCAAGCCUGAUCCAGCCAUACCGCGUGGGUGAAGAAGGCCUUCGGGUUGUAAAGCCCUUUUGUUGGGAAAGAAAAGCAGCAGGUUAAUACCCCGCUGUUCUGACGGUACCCAAAGAAUAAGCACCGGCUAACUUCGU
rnacentral:rRNA from 1 species